UACGUAGGGGGCGAGCGUUGUCCGGAUUUAUUGGGCGUAAAGAGCUCGUAGGCGGUUCGAUAAGUCGGACGUGAAAUCUCCACGCUCAACGUGGAGGGGCCGUUCGAUACUGUCGUGACUCGAGCCCGGUAGGGGAGUGUGGAAUUCCCGGUGUAGCGGUGAAAUGCGCAGAGAUCGGGAGGAACACCCGUAGCGAAGGCGGCACUCUGGGCCGGUACUGACGCUGAGGAGCGAAAGCGUGGGGAGCAAACAGG
rnacentral:rRNA from 1 species